rnacentral:sRNA from 1 species
GCUGGGCGCAGUGGCGUAUGCCUGUUAUCCAAGUGGCUCAGGAGGCUGAGGCAGGAGGAUUGCAAAUCCAAAGCCAGCCUCAGCAACUUAGUGAGGCUCUAAGCAAGUUAGUGAGACCCUGUCUCAA